UAUCUGGCUUGUAUUCAUCUGCGGUCCUGCGCCACGCAUGCGAUUCCAUACCCGCCUCGGUUGGAUCGUGUGUGCUGCCUCGGCUAUGGACUGCGGUGCAUUUGCAAGUGGAGUGCGCUGAGACUUGUGACGCAUCGGCUGGAUCAUCGUGUUGAGGCCAUGCUUCGGUGUGGUACCCGCACGUCGGAAAGGCUGUAUGUGCUGCAUGUGAAGAGUGUGGUUGGGGUUAGUGGGCGCCUAGUCGGUUGCUGGUAACGGUCGCAUGCGACACGUGCCAGUUUGCCGGUUUGGUGUUUACUAGUCUUUCAUGCUUGCUCUCGGUGUGAAAGUUGGUCAUCUAUCCGACCCGUCUUGAAACACGGACCAAGGAGUUUAGCGUAUGCGCGAGUCAUUGAGUCUGACAAACUCAAAGGCGUAAUGAAAGUAAAAAGCCGCAAUGUGGAUAUGUGAUCGAGUACACCUCGGUGUGCACGAGCAACAUAGCCCCGUCCCGAUCGCUUGCGAUGGGGCGGAGGUAGAGCGUAUUCGCUGAGACCCGAAAGAUGGUGAACUAUUCCUGAGCAGGACGAAGCCAGAGGAAACUCUGGUGGAAGUCCGAAGCGGUUCUGA
rnacentral:rRNA from 1 species